AGUGAGGGAUACGUCUCGGGGAGACCACAGGGCAGCGAAGGGGCCAGUCUCGGGAGACCAGGCAGCGAGGGGCCAGUCCAGGGAGGCUCACAGGGGCAGCGAGAGGCCAUCCAGGGGAGGUCACAGGGGCAGCGAGGGCCAUCUCGGGGAGACCCAGGGAACCCAAGGGAGCGAGGGGGCCCAGUCUCGGGGAGACCGACAGGGGAACCCCAGGGGCAGCGAGGGGCCAGUCUCGGGAGACCCAAGGGGAACACCCAGGGGCAGCGAGGGGCCAGUCACAGGAGGUCACAGGACAGCGAGGGGCCAGUCUCGGGGAAACCCA